UACAGAGGUCUCAAGCGUUGUUCGGAUUCAUUGGGCGUAAAGGGUGCGUAGGUGGCGCCGUAAGUCGGGUGUGAAAUUUCGGAGCUUAACUCCGAAACUGCAUUCGAUACUGCGGUGCUUUGAGGACUGGAGAGGAGACUGGAAUUCAUGGUGUAGCGGUGAAAUGCGCAGAUAUCGGGAGGAACACCAAUGGCGAAGGCGGCACUCUGGGCCGGUACUGACGCUGAGGAGCGAAAGCGUGGGUAGCAAACGGG
rnacentral:rRNA from 1 species